rnacentral:misc_RNA from 1 species
GGUGGUAACAAGUUCGUUCUCUCUCUGUCUUCGUUGUAUUGCAUUUUUAUUAAUUGCAACUUUUUUCAGGGAAAUUAGGAGUUCAUAUUUUUGGGUUUUGAAGAAUAUCUGAUCUUGUGAUGAUGGUGAAUUGACGUAUGGCUCAUUGAGAAUUCCUGUCAUGCUUUUUAAUUUUGUGGAUGCUGGUGUUUGCAAUCAUAUUAUUCGCUUUGAAAUGAUGUUGAUUGCCAAGCAUGUUAGUUUGCGUGUGGUCAUUUAUUAUCUUCCCUUUGCAUGA